rnacentral:rRNA from 1 species
UGCAGUCGAGGGGUAGAGUUAGCUUGCUAACUUGAGACCGGCGCACGGGUGCGUAACGCGUAUGCAACCUACCUUUUACAGAGGGAUAGCCCAGAGAAAUUUGGAUUAAUACCUCAUAGUAUAAUGAACUGGCAUCAGUUUAUUAUUAAAGUCACAACGGUAAAAGAUGAGCAUGCGUCCCAUUAGCUUGUUGGUAAGGUAACGGCUUACCAAGGCAACGAUGGGUAGGGGUCCUGAGAGGGAGAUCCCCCACACUGGUACUGAGACACGGACCAGACUCCUACGGGAGGCAGCAGUGAGGAAUAUUGGUCAAUGGACGCAAGUCUGAACCAGCCAUGCCGCGUGCAAGAUGAAGCAUCUAUGGUGUGUAAACUGCUUUUGUACGAGAAGAAACACUCCUUCGUGAAAGAGCUUGACGGUAUCGUAAGAAUAAAGACCGGCUAACUCCGUGCCAGCAGCCGCGGUAAUACAGAGGGUCCAAGCGUUAUCCGGAAUCAUUGGGUUUAAAGGGUCCGUAGGCGGGUUUAUAAGUCAGUGGUGAAAGCCCAUCGCUCAACGAUGGAACGGCCAUUGAUACUGUAGAUCUUGAAUUAUUAGGAAGUAACUAGAAUAUGUAGUGUAGCGGUGAAAUGCUUAGAGAUUACAUGGAAUACCGAUUGCGAAGGCAGGUUACUACUAAUGGAUUGACGCUGAUGGACGAAAGCGUGGGUAGCGAACAGGAUUAGAUACCCUGGUAGUCCACGCCGUACACGAUGGAUACUAGCUGUUCGGAGCAAUCUGAGUGGCUAAGCGAAAGUGAUAAGUAUCCCACCUGGAGAGUACGUUCGCAAG